rnacentral:rRNA from 1 species
CAGUGCCGCGGGAAUACAGAGGGUGCGAGCGUUAAUCGGAUUUACUGGGCGUAAAGCGUGCGUAGGCGGCUUCUUAAGUCGGAUGUGAAAUCCCUGAGCUUAACUUAGGAAUUGCAUUCGAUACUGGGAAGCUAGAGUAUGGGAGAGGAUGGUAGAAUUCCAGGUGUAGCGGUGAAAUGCGUAGAGAUCUGGAGGAAUACCGAUGGCGAAGGCAGCCAUCUGGCCUAAUACUGACGCUGAGGUACGAAAGCAUGGGGAGCAAACAGGAUUAGAUACCCCUGUAGUCCCUGUCUCUUAUACA